UCAUGUUUUGUUGAUCCAUUCAUCUGUUGCUGGGCAUUUGGGUUGUUUCUACUUCUUGUCUUUUAUUAAUAAUGCUGCUAUGAACAUUUGUGUACAAGUUUUUGUGUGGAUGUAUGUUUUUAUUUUCUUUAGGACAGGACUUGCAGGGUCAUAUUGUCAGAGAUGUUCAAACCGGAGCGACUCCAUCUUGAAUAGGGGCUUGUCUACACAAGUACUUCUAAGAGAAAGUUCAUAGCAGCACUGUUCAUAAUUGCCCCAAACUAGAAACAAUCCAAAUGCUCUAUUAAUAGGUAAAUGUAUAAACAAACUUUGGUAUAUCCAUGUAAUGGAAUACUGCUCAGAUAUAAAAAGAAACGAGUACUGAUAUGCACAACAUAAAUGAAUCUCAGAAGCGUCAUGCUGAGUGAAAACAGUGAGAGACAAAAGGCCACAUUUUAUAUAUGGUUCCAUUAAUACAACAUUCUGGAAAAAACAAAACUAUAUGCACACAAAACAGAUCAGUA
rnacentral:lncRNA from 1 species